rnacentral:rRNA from 1 species
GACGAACGCUGGCGGCGUGCUUAACACAUGCAAGUCGAACGGAAAGGCCCUGCUUUUGUGGGGUGCUCGAGUGGCGAACGGGUGAGUAACACGUGAGUAACCUGCCCUUGACUUUGGGAUAACUUCAGGAAACUGGGGCUAAUACCGGAUAGGAGCUCCUGCUGCAUGGUGGGGGUUGGAAAGUUUCGGCGGUUGGGGAUGGACUCGCGGCUUAUCAGCUUGUUGGUGGGGUAGUGGCUUACCAAGGCUUUGACGGGUAGCCGGCCUGAGAGGGUGACCGGACACAUGGGGACUGAGAUACGGACGAGACUGCGACGGGAGGCAGCAGGGGGGAAUAUGGAACAAGGGGCGGAAGCCUGAGGCAGGAACGCCGCGUGCGGGAGGACGGCCUGCGGGUUGUAAACCGCUUUCGCCUGGGAAGAAGCGUGAGUGACGGUAAUGGGUAAAGAAGCACCGGAUAAAUACGUG